rnacentral:rRNA from 1 species
GAUGAACGCUGGCGGCGUGCCUAAUACAUGCAAGUCGAGCGAACAGACGAGGAGCUUGCUCCUCUGACGUUAGCGGCGGACGGGUGAGUAACACGUGGAUAACCUCCCUAUAAGACUGGGAUAACUUCGGGAAACCGGAGCUAAUACCGGAUAAUAUAUUGAACCGCAUGGUUCAUUAGUGAAAGACGGUUUUGCUGUCACUUAUCGAUGGAUCCGCGCCGCAUUAGCUAGUUGGUAAGGUAACGGCUUACCAAGGCAACGAUGCGUAGCCGACCUGAGAGGGUGAUCGGCCACACUGGAACUGAGACACGGUCCAGACUCCUACGGGAGGCAGCAGUAGGGAAUCUUCCGCAAUGGGCGAAAGCCUGACGGAGCAACGCCGCGUGAGUGAUGAAGGUCUUCGGAUCGUAAAACUCUGUUAUUAGGGAAGAACAAAUGUGUAAGUAACUAUGCACGUCUUGACGGUACCUAAUCAGAAAACCACGGCUAACUACGU